GCCCGGGGACGGCCCCGGGCCAUUCGCUGCAACGGGGACGACCCC
rnacentral:ncRNA from 1 species